UACGUAGGUGGCAAGCGUUGUCCGGAUUUAUUGGGUUUAAAGGGUGCGUAGGCGGCCCUGUAAGUCAGUGCUGAAAUAUCCCGGCUUAACCGGGAGGGUGGCAUUGAUACUGCGGGGCUAGAGUACAGAUGAGGUAGGCGGAAUUGACGGUGUAGCGGUGAAAUGCUUAGAUAUCGUCAAGAACACCUAUAGCGAAGGCAGCUUACUAGGCUGUAACUGACGCUGAGGCACGAAAGUGUGGGGGAUCAAACAGG
rnacentral:rRNA from 1 species